AGAAUUGAUCUUGGUUCAGGAUGAACGCUAGCUACAGGCUUAACACAUGCAAGUCGAGGGGCAGCAUUGGAGUAGCAAUACUCAGAUGGCGACCGGCGCACGGGUGAGUAACACGUAUCCAACCUGCCGCUUACUCGGGGAUAGCCUUUCGAAAGAAAGAUUAAUACCCGAUGGUAUAAAGAGUUCGCAUGUUCUCUUUAUUAAAGAAUUUCGGUAAGCGAUGGGGAUGCGUUCCAUUAGAUAGUUGGCGGGGUAACGGCCCACCAAGUCUACGAUGGAUAGGGGUUCUGAGAGGAAGGUCCCCCACAUUGGAACUGAGACACGGUCCAAACUCCUACGGGAGGCAGCAGUGAGGAAUAUUGGUCAAUGGACGAGAGUCUGAACCAGCCAAGUAGCGUGAAGGAUGACUGCCCUAUGGGUUGUAAACUUCUUUUAUAAGGGAAUAAAGUGAGGGACGUGUCCCUUUUUGUAUGUACCUUAUGAAUAAGGAUCGGCUAACUCCGUGCCAGCAGCAGC
rnacentral:rRNA from 1 species